CGGGAUGUAGCGCAGCCCGGUUAGCGCGUUCGUCUGGGGGGCGAGAGGUCGCUGGUUCGAAUCCAGUCAUCCCGA
rnacentral:tRNA from 1 species